GACGAACGCUGGCGGCGUGCUUAACACAUGCAAGUCGAACGGUAAGGCCCUUCGGGGUACACGAGUGGCGAACGGGUGAGUAACACGUGGGUGAUCUGCCCUGCACUUCGGGAUAAGCCUGGGAAACUGGGUCUAAUACCGGAUAGGACCACUGCCUGCAUGGGUGGUGGUGGAAAGCUUUUGCGGUGUGGGAUGGGCCCGCGGCCUAUCUGCUUGUUAGUGGGGUGAUGGCCUACCAAGGCGACGACGGGUAGCCGGCCGGGGGGGGUGACCGGCCACACUGGGACUGAGAUACGGCCCAGACUCCUACGGGAGGCCGCAGUGGGGAAUAUUGCACAAUGGGCGCAAGCCUGAUGCAGCGACGCCGCGUGAGGGAUGACGGCCUUCGGGUUGUAACCCUCUUUCAGCACCGACGAAGCGCAAGUGACGGUAGGUGCAGAAGAAGGACCGGCCAACUACGUGCCAGCCGCCGCAGUAA
rnacentral:rRNA from 1 species